CCUACGGGAGACAGCAGUGGGGAAUUUUGCGCAAUGGGGGAAACCCUGACGCAGCAACGCCGCGUGCGGGACGACGGCCCUCGGGUUGUAAACCGCUUUCAGUGGGGACGAUGGUGACGGUACCCACAGAAGAAGCUCCGGCUAACUACGUGCCAGCAGCCGCGGACAUACGUAGGGAGCGAGCGUUAUCCGGAUUCAUUGGGCGUAAAGCGCGCGUAGGCGGCUGCCAAGUCGGAACCGAUAGGCCCGGGGCUCAACCUCGGGCCGGGUUCCGUACUGGGCGGCUCGAGUGCGGUAGAGGCAGGCGGAAUUCCCGGUGUAGCGGUGGAAUGCGCAGAUAUCGGGAAGAACACCGGUGGCGAAGGCAGGCUGCUGGGCCGUCACUGACGCUGAGGCGCGAAAGCUAGGGGAGCGAACGGGAUUAGAUACCCCGGUAGUC
rnacentral:rRNA from 1 species